rnacentral:lncRNA from 1 species
UAAUACAAACACAACCCAUAUACCGUUUAUCUAUACCGGUAUAUGUUACAUCGUUUAACAAUAUAUCUGUGACAGUCUCGCCACGUAGACGACCGCGAGGCAAUGUUGUUGAUAGUAAUAGUUAGGGAAGCACAUGAGCGUGUCAAGGACCAGGCAAUAAUCACCAACAACUCCGUGCUGUUCCUAAACUCGUAUAGAGAUGGCGGGUUGGCGUGUGUGACGAUCUUGUCUACCUUGGUAUGUUAGGCACGAGAAUCUGGCCAUGGAUGAGAUAGAUCGUUGGGAGUUUCCUGACACCACCCAUGCUUAGGAUAGAGUGGUUGCCACGAGCAAGAAAAGUAACAUGUUGUUUGGGUGUGGAUGAGAGUUGUAUAUGUGUUGAACGCUUGACUAGUAGAAUGGAAAAGGAAGUAUAUAUAACAUCUACAGAGCUACGGAUGUGUAUCAUCUCUC